CCUACGGGAGGCUGCAGUGAGGAAUAUUGGUCAAUGGACGAGAGCCUGAACCAGCCAAGUAGCGUGAAGGAUGACUGCCCUAUGGGUUGUAAACUUCUUUUAUAUGGGAAUAAAGUGUUCCACGUGUGGGAUUUUGUAUGUACCAUAUGAAUAAGGAUCGGCUAACUCCGUGCCAGCAGCCGCGGUAAUACGGAGGAUCCGAGCGUUAUCCGGAUUUAUUGGGUUUAAAGGGAGCGUAGGUGGGUUGUUAAGUCAGUUGUGAAAGUUUGCGGCUCAACCGUAAAAUUGCAGUUGAUACUGGCAGUCUUGAGUACAGUAGAGGUGGGCGGAAUUCGUGGUGUAGCGGUGAAAUGCUUAGAUAUCACGAAGAACUCCGAUUGCGAAGGCAGCUCACUAAACUGCAACUGACAUUGAGGCUCGAAAGUGUGGGUAUCAAACAGGAUUAGAUACCCCAGUAGUC
rnacentral:rRNA from 1 species